ensembl:lncRNA
AUGAAUGACUCUGUCCCAGCCUUUACGAUCCAUUGGCGCGGUUUCCAUCGUAUCUAUGUCACGUGUUUCUGCCUACUGUGGCAGUGACGUGUCUCCGCCUACUGUGGCUGUCAUGUGUUUCUGCCUACUGUGGAGCUCCACGGUGGCUGCAGCCAGACCUUUCUCGACACAAGGCUGAAGGCCCGGACCAUGAUAGUCUCAUAGGUGCUGUGUUUUACAGUCAGCCCAAAUGCGCUAAUUUGUUUUCAGUGAAAACAGCAAUUUCAUAAAUUCAACAAAACAAAGUUAAAGUUUGAAACAAUAAAAAGCCAACAAGCAUAGCCAUGGAUGCUAAAAUGAUUUAAACUAUUACUAAUAUUGAUGGUCAUCUCCGUAAGGCUUGGGUGUGUUUUGUGGCUCUGUUCAGAUUUUAUCCUGUGGUGGUAAAGGUUUCGGUCUCCUCCAUUAAAGGUGCACCUUCCUUUGCAGGAUGAAGUCCAGAUGGCUGCUGUCCGCUGUGGACAGACUUCCUACCAUCAGUGAAAUGCAGGAGACUGACACAGAAGAAGGAGACCCGGACUGCUCCUCUCACACCAUGGAGGAGUAUGUGGACUCCAUCAAAGAGCUCUCCCAGCCGGCCCCCUACCCACUCCAUGGGCCCCUCAGAGGUCACCGCCUCUGGAUGGUGCGCUCAUGCCCCGCGGCUCCACCUGUGGCACCGGCUCUGUUUUUAAAAUCCCUGAGAAGCAGCCCACCUUGGAGUCCAGUUGACCUAUCAGAUGUAUCACUGACCUUAACAGACCAAUCAAAGUGUGAGACAUCAACACAUUUCAAACAAAACCUGCUGGACGUGCUGGUGGGACAUUCCCUGUUUGCAGGGCUGGUGUGAGGUGAAGGUAGCGGCCGGACUGCUGACCUCUGCCCACGGCUCCCGUCAGCUCCACGAUGCAUGAUUCAUUUAUGUGUAAGAAGUAAUUGAGUCAGCAACGCUCCAGAAGCUAUAUGCAUUCCCUUUGAAGUUCUAAAUGAACGCAACACAUGAAACAAAAGAUGAAAAGCGAAAAAUCAAGGGCAGAACAAACAAACGAGCAGUGCCUGCCUGGAUGCCUGAGGUAUAAGUGCGAUAAGUGGCUGUGCUGGGCCCACUCGUCCACCAGGGGGCCCUCCAACAGACCCAAGCUGUGAACUCUCCUGAUUUGAAUAUUUAAAGACAUACUCUCUGAUUUUUGCCACCAGAAUCUUCUGAGGACCCCAAACUAAGGAUGAUUCAAGAAAGCAAUGCAAACUAGGUAGAUUCAUUGGCUCCCACACCCCAGGAGCUCGUUGAGAUGAACUACAAAUAUUAAAUCUCUUCAGACUGUAGCUCUAAAUUAAAUAUCCAAGCAUUUGCCUUCAGACCGUUUAAAGGGCCCAGAAUUAGGUAAGCUUUAACUGCCUAGAAAAGGAAUACAAAGGGCUGCUUCAGCCGACGGGGGGCCUUCGAACAGCUUCGGGGUUUAAGUUGUGACUUAAAAAUUUAAAGAUAGUCUCCCUCAUUGGCUCUAGUCUAUCCCAGCUGGCACAUAAAUAUGAACUCUGUGUAGAGUCUGGUUCAAUUUUAAAUAUCCGAAUCAUUUCUGUUGGACAUUUGAAGAAAUUUGGAUGUUCGGUCUUAAUCUAAAGAUCUUAAUAUCUUUUUGGUUCAAAGCUCUAUGCUUCUUCAUAUCCACCAGAUCUAGGGUUAUGAUUUUAGUCAACUCUUUUUAGACACACAUAGCUUUUUUGGAAAACCAAAAACCUUUCAUCUUGUUGUUCCUUUUUUUAAAAAUUGGUCUUAGGCUGGUGACCUGGGAGGUGUUAGGAUGAAAUCAUCAUGUUUUCUUUUAGGGUUUUUUUCAUUCAAAUAAGUAAACUUCUACUGCAAGACAUUUGAUUUCAAAUUCUCCUUCGAUACAGACGCAGAGAUGUGUUAGUAAAUGAUGAGAUUUGUUUCUCUUUUUCAUCACCACCAGGUAAAAAAAGAAUAUGGCGGUCUCUUCCUGUUGAAAAGGAGAUCUUCCUUACCACUGUCUCCAAAUGCUUCUCGUAGGUUAUUGUCUCUCAAACAAUCUAAUCUAUAAAGCAUCUUGAGAUUACUCUCAUCAGUCGUGACUCAUGAGCUUUAUAAAUAAAAUGAACUGAACCCCCUUUGACCUUAAAAUGUACUGCUAAGCCUAAAGCUUCUUAUUCUUUUUAACCUCACAGAUUUGUAAUAUUGGAUAAUUUCUCUCCCCAAAUAAAUCAGUUUCUUAACCACUUAUUCAGUUCAUAGUCUGCAGCCAUUCCCAGCUGCCCGUGGGUGGACAUUAUACAGUGGGGCAAAAAGUAUUUAGUCAGCCACCGAUUGUGCAAGUUCCCCCACUUAAAAUGGACAGGUGUCUUUUAUACAGAUGAUGAGUUCAAACAGGUGCCAUUCAUACAGGUAACGAGUGGGGGACAGAAAAGCUUCUUACAGAAGACGUUACAGGUCUGUGAGAGCCAGAGAUUUUCCUUGUUUGAGGUGACCAAAUACUUAUUUUCCACCCUGAUUUACCAAUAAAUUCUUUACAAAUCCUACCAUGUGGAUUCAUGGAUUUUUUUUUCACAUUCUGUCUCUCACAGUUGAAGUGUACCUCUGGUGCAAAUUACUGACCUCUGUCAUCAUUUUAAGUGGGGGAACUUGCACAAUCGGUGGCUGACUAAAUACUUUUUUGCCCCACUGUGAACCUCACCUGUCUAUCACAAGGCUAUGUAAUUAAAUUCAAUAAAUCUGUAUUUUUUUUCCAUUGCAUUUUCCAGGAAUUCCAGCUCCCUAUGGCUUCCUGGCCACCUGAGCUCACUGAAAGCAAUUCUCCUUUAUUUCUGAGUUUUAAAUAUUCACUUUUCUAAUUGUAUUUUAUUUGUUUUAAUUAAGUUUAAAACUGAAACACGUUUGUGCUAAGGGUAAAGAAGCACUCACGCUGUGCAGGUUUAUGCAGUGCAGCCUGCAAAGUUUUGUUGACAUUGGUUUGCUUUUUUCCCCCAUUUGAAAUAAAAGCAGUUGUAAGAAAAACAUAAA